rnacentral:rRNA from 1 species
CCUACGGGAGGCAGCAGUGAGGAAUCUCCACAAUGGGGGCAACCCUGAUGGAGCAACGCCGCGUGCAGGAUGAAGGCCUUCGGGUUGUAAACUGCUUUUAUAAGUGAGGAAUAUGACGGUAACUUAUGAAUAAGGAUCGGCUAACUACGUGCCAGCAGCCGCGGUAAU